rnacentral:tRNA from 1 species
GGGUAAAAGCUUCGUAAGCAACUAACUGUUAAUUAGUAGACCACGACUUCAAAACACUCGUUUACCCC